GCGAACUGCUUUUUAACCUCACUAGCACUGGAGUACUGAAGCUUUUGGAGGGACAAGACAAAUCGAACAAUAGCUUUUAGAAUGUUGCAUGUAGCAAUGGAUGUGCAGAAAUCAGAAGUUGCAGCAUGAUCUACACCAGUGCAAAACAAAACAGUGCCUGAAGUUGGAGUUAACAGGCGAUUGACUGUGGUCGUUAAUCCAUAACGAAAAUGGGAGAAGCAGACCAAAUGGAAAAAUAAGUGUAGGCAGUAUAGUGCGAAGCAUUUGAAAUAUGGAUUUAUA